rnacentral:rRNA from 1 species
GAUGAACGCUAGCUACAGGCUUAACACAUGCAAGUCGAGGGGUAGCAGGGUAGCAAUACCGCUGACGACCGGCGCACGGGUGAGUAACACGUAUCCAACAUUCCCAUAACUCGGGGAUAGCCUUUCGAAAGAAAGAUUAAUACCCGAUAGUACUUAACAAAGGCAUCUUUGAUAAGUUAAAGAUUGAUUGGUUAUGGAUGGGGAUGCGUUCCAUUAGAUAGUUGGUGAGGUACCGGCUCACCAAGUCUUCGAUGGAUAGGGGUGCUGAGGGGAAGCUACCCCACAUCGGUACUGAGAGACAGACCAAACUCCUGGGGGAGGCAGCAGUGAGGAAUAUUGGUCAAUGGGCGGGAGCCUGAACCAGCCAAGUAGGGCGAAAGAUGAAGGUCCUAUGGAUUGUAAACUUCUUUUAUAGUAGAAUAAAGUGAUCCACGGGUGGAUUUUUGUAUGUAUACUAUGAAUAAGGAUCGGCUAACUCCGUGCCAGCAGCCGCGGUAA